UACGGGGGGGGUAAGCGUUGUUCGGAUUACUGGGCGUAAAGGGCGCGUAGGCGGCUUUAUAAGUCGGGGGUGAAAGCCUGUGGCUCAACCACAGAAUUGCCUUCGAUACUGUAGAGCUUGAGUUCGGGAGAGGUGAGUGGAACUGCGAGUGUAGAGGUGAAAUUCGUAGAUAUUCGCAAGAACACCAGUGGCGAAGGCGGCUCACUGGCCCGAUACUGACGCUGAGGUGCGAAAGCGUGGGGAGCAAACAGGG
rnacentral:rRNA from 1 species